CCUGUUGGAGCUAUUCAAGGUGUCAGAAAAGUUACCACAAGGAUAUUUGUCAUGUGCCAGCCAAGCAUUAAUAGCAGUGAUAUUUUCUCAAUGUAAGCUCUUCCUAUGGUUGUAGAGCAGAAUUUACUAAACUUGGAUUGUUCACCCAUUAAUAGAGAAUGUGAGACAGUUUAGAUCAUUGUGAGAUGUACU
rnacentral:ncRNA from 1 species